GAUGAAGAACGCAGUGAAAUGCGAUACGUAAUGUGAAUUGCAGAAUUCAGUGAAUCAUCGAGUCUUUGAACGCACAUUGCGCCCCCUGGUAUUCCGGGGGGCAUGCCUGUCCGAGCGUCAUUGCUGCCCUCAAGCCCGGCUUGUGUGUUGGGUCUCGUCCCCCUUCCCGGGGGGACGGGCCCGAAAGGCAGCGGCGGCACCGCGUCCGGUCCUCGAGCGUAUGGGGCUUUGUCACCCGCUCUGUAGGCCCGGCCGGCGCUUGCCGAUCAACCAAAACUUUUUUCCAGGUUGACCUCGGAUCAGGUAGGGAUACCCGCUGAACUUAAGCAUAUCAAUAAGCGGAGGA
rnacentral:misc_RNA from 1 species